UGAUCGUUGUUGCUGCCGAAAGCCUCCUACAGGUCCAGAAGGAUUAUUCUGCUGUUGCCCAACACUGGGGUGAUUCUUCCAACCUUGGCUGGAACUACCUUGGUUGAAAGCACCUUGCUUGUACGGAUAUUGGGCUCCCAUGUAGUUAACAUCAUGCUGCAACUCCUCGGGAAAAGCACAUUGACCAUUGAUAUGGUCUCC
rnacentral:lncRNA from 1 species